rnacentral:rRNA from 1 species
GGUUAGUGCAAUGGCAUAAGCCAGCUUGACUGCGAGCGUGACGGCGCGAGCAGGUGCGAAAGCAGGUCAUAGUGAUCCGGUGGUUCUGAAUGGAAGGGCCAUCGCUCAACGGAUAAAAGGUACUCCGGGGAUAACAGGCUGAUACCGCCCAAGAGUUCAUAUCGACGGCGGUGUUUGGCACCUCGAUGUCGGCUCAUCACAUCCUGGGGCUGAAGUAGGUCCCAAGGGUAUGGCUGUUCGCCAUUUAAAGUGGUACGCGAGCUGGGUUUAGAACGUCGUGAGACAGUUCGGUCCCUAUCUGCCGUGGGCGCUGGAGAACUGAGGGGGGCUGCUCCUAGUACGAGAGGACCGGAGUGGACGCAUCACUGGUGUUCGGGUUGUCAUGCCAAUGGCACUGCCCGGUAGCUAAAUGCGGAAGAGAUAAGUGCUGAAAGCAUCUAAGCACGAAACUUGCCCCGAG